GUGCUCGCUUCGGCAGCAUAUAUACUAAAAUCAGAAUGAUACAGAGAAGAUUGGCAUGCCCCUGAGCAAGAACAUAAAUGUCUCGAUUGAGCUUGAAGGGACAGUU